GAGUCCGAACUUGCUGCGGGACUCAAAUAUCAACUUGAAGAAAAGCUGAAGGCACUGAGGGAGAAAAAUCAAAACCUACUGGAUCUUCAACGAAAGAUUAAUAAACAGGAGAAAAAAAAUUUUUGAUUUGCAUACUAUCGUCAAGAAGAAUAAGAAACUGGAGCUAAGGCUUAGAGAGGCAAAAAAGGCCAAUAAGGCCCACGAGAAGGCCAUAGAGGCCUUGAAGAGACAAGUUAAAAAGAAGAA
rnacentral:lncRNA from 1 species